rfam:Cochliobolus heterostrophus C5 unplaced genomic scaffold COCHEscaffold_3, whole genome shotgun sequence.
UCUUCAGUAGUAUAGUGGUCAGUAUUUCCGCUUGUCAUCUGACAAUACGCGGGAGACCGGGGUUCAAUUCCCCGCUGGAGAG